rnacentral:rRNA from 1 species
AACGAACGCUGGCGGCAUGCCUAACACAUGCAAGUCGAACGAGACCUUCGGGUCUAGUGGCGCACGGGUGCGUAACGCGUGGGAACCUGCCCUUAGGUUCGGAAUAACUCCCCGAAAGGGGUGCUAAUACCGGAUAAUGUCUUCGGACCAAAGAUUUAUCGCCUUUGGAUGGGCCCGCGUUGGAUUAGCUAGUUGGUAGGGUAAAAGCCUACCAAGGCGACGAUCCAUAGCUGGUCUGAGAGGAUGAUCAGCCACACUGGGACUGAGACACGGCCCAGACUCCUACGGGAGGCAGCAGUGGGGAAUAUUGGACAAUGGGCGAAAGCCUGAUCCAGCAAUGCCGCGUGAGUGAUGAAGGCCUUAGGGUUGUAAAGCUCUUUUACCCGGGAUGAGAAUGACAGUACCGGGAGAAUAAGCUCCGGCUAACUCCGUG